GUUUAUGUGCACUUUUGUAGGGACAAAAUAAGAUUGCAAAAGUACAAACAAGGCUGGGAUAAUCAAACUUGAUGCACAUAUUCAACCAUCAUAGAGGGUUGGUGCCAGGACUUCCGGAGGCCAUAUAUUGAGCACCGUGACCCAUGUUUUCCAUGCAGCGGUGCAAGAUUCUCCAGCUAGCGUCGCUCUUGCUCAAUCUUUUGGUGGGUGCUAUUCUUUACCUCAGAAUGGGGAUCCACACGGAAACUGGUUAUAUAUUUUUAAAGGAUCACACCUGA